rnacentral:RNase_P_RNA from 1 species
GCAGUGAACCGGAUGACCGCCGCGCCGAGCAACCGCGCAAGCGUAGUACUCGACGGGGAGGAAAGUCCGAACUCCACAGGGCAGUGCGCCGGGUAACACCCGGGCGGGGCGACCCGACGGAAAGUGGCACAGAAAAGAUACCGCCCUCGCUGUUUGGGGGUAAGGGUGAAAAGGUGCGGUAAGAGCGCACCGCGCGGCUGGCAACAGACGUGGCAGGCCAAACCCCGCACGGAGCAAGACCAAAUAGGGAAGCGCAUGGCUUCGGCCACCAGGACGGCCCGUCCGAUCGACGCUUCCGGGUAGGUCGCUCGAGUCCGCCAGUGAUGGCGGGCCUAGAGGAAUGGUCAUCUCGCCGGAGCCGGAGGGCCGCAAGGCCCGUCGGCGAAGGCGGACAGAAUUCGGCUUACAGGGGCACUGCGGCC